rnacentral:rRNA from 1 species
CCUACGGGAUGCAGCAGUGGGGAAUUUUCCGCAAUGGGCGAAAGCCUGUCGGAGCAAUGCCGCGUGGAGGUAGAAGGCCCACGGGUCGUGAACAUCCUUUCCCGGAGAAGAAGCAAUGACGAUAUCUGGAGAAUAAGCAUCGGCUAACUCUGUGCCAGCAGCCGCGGUAAUACAGAGGAUGCAAGCGUUAUCCGGAAUGAUUGGGCGUAAAGCGUCUGUAGCUGGCUUUUUAAGUCCGCCGUCAAAUCCCAGGGCUCAACCCUGGACAGGCGGUGGAAACUACCAAGCUGGAGUACGGUAUGGGCAGAGGGAAUUUCCGGUGGAGCGGUGAAAUGCGUAGAGAUCGGAAAGAACACCAACGGCGAGAGCACUCUGCUGGGCCGACACUGACACUGAGAGACGAAAGCUAGGGGAGCGAAUGGGAUUAGAUACCCGCGUAGUC